rnacentral:pre_miRNA from 1 species
AGGCAAGAUGCUGGCAUAACUAAUAGAAACUGUUUUAGUUAUGCUUCGUCUUUCCCAA